AUUGAACGCUGGCGGCAUGCCUAACACAUGCAAGUCGAACGGGGGUAGCAAUACCCAGUGGCGGACGGGUGAGGAAUACAUAGGAAUUUGCCUUUAGGUGGGGGAUAGCCCGGGGAAACUCGGAGUAAUACCGCAUGAUGUCGAAAGACCAAAGUAGGGGAUCGCAAGACCUUGCGCCUUUAGAGAAGCCUAUGUCUGAUUAGCUAGUUGGUAGGGUAAUGGCCUACCAAGGCGACGANCAGUAACUGGUCUGAGAGGACGAUCAGUCACACCGGAACUGAGACACGGUCCGGACUCCUACGGGAGGCAGCAGUGGGGAAUAUUGGACAAUGGGCGAAAGCCUGAUCCAGCAAUGCCGCGUGUGUGAAGAAGGCCUCGG
rnacentral:rRNA from 1 species